CCGGCGCACGGUGAGUAACACGUANGCACCUGCCGCCACAGCCGGAUAAUCGGGAGAAAUUCCGUCUAAUACGGCAUAAUGCAUCGACGGGACAUCCUGUUGGUGCCAAAGGUUAAUUCCGGUGGCGGAUGGGCAUGCGUCGCAUUAGUUAGUUGGCGGUGUAACGGACCACCAAGACGACGAUGCGUAGGGGUUCUGAGAGGAAGGUCCCCCACACUGGUACUGAGACACGGACCAGACUCCUACGGAAGGCAGCAG
rnacentral:rRNA from 1 species